UACGUAGGGUGCGAGCGUUGUCCGGAAUUAUUGGGCGUAAAGAGCUUGUAGGCGGUCUGUCGCGUCUGCUGUGAAAAUCCGGGGCUCAACCCCGGACUUGCAGUGGGUACGGGCAGACUAGAGUGUGGUAGGGGAGACUGGAAUUCCUGGUGUAGCGGUGAAAUGCGCAGAUAUCAGGAGGAACACCGGUGGCGAAGGCGGAUCUCUGGGCCUGUUCUGACGCUGAGGCGCGAAAGCUAGGGGAGCAAACAGG
rnacentral:rRNA from 1 species